rnacentral:rRNA from 1 species
AUUAGAGUUUGAUCCUGGCCGAUUGACGCUGGCGGCAUGCUUUACACAUGCAAGUCGAGCGGGCAGCACGGGCUUCGGCCUGGGUGGCGAGUGGCGAACGGGUGAGUAAUACAUCGGAACGUGCCCAGAAGUGGGGGAUAACGCAGCGAAAGUUGCGCUAAUACCGCAUACGUUCUACGGAAGAAAGUGGGGGAUCUUCGGACCUCGUGCUUUUGGAGCGGCCGAUGUCUGAUUAGCUAGUUGGUAGGGUAAAGGCCUACCAAGGCGACGAUCAGUAGCUGGUCUGAGAGGACGACCAGCCACACUGGAACUGAGACACGGUCCAAGACUCCUACGGGAGGCAGCAGUGGGGAAUUUUGGACAAUGGGCGCAAGCCUGAUCCAGCAAUGCCGCGUGAGUGAAGAAGGCCUUCGGGUUGUAGCUCUUUUGUCAGGGAAGAAACGGUUCCGGCUAAUUCUGGAGCUAAUAACGGUA